GUAGGGAAUAUUGGGCAAUGGGCGAAAGCCUGACCCAGCCAUGCCGCGUGAGCGAUGACGGUCCUCGAGAUUGUAAAGCUCUUUUCUGAGGAAAGAACAUCCGGGGUAGGAAAUGACCCCGGCUUGACGGUACCUCAGGAAUAAGGAACGGCUAACUCCGUGCCAGCAGCCGCGGUAAUACGGAGGUUCCAAGCGUUGUUCGGAAUUACUGGGCGUAAAGGGAGCGCAGGCGGGCAAGUCAGUCUGAAGUGAAAUCCCGGGGCUCAACCUCUGACUUGCUUCGGAUACUGCUUGUCUUGAGUUCGUGAUAGGAAGACGGAAUUCAGGGUGUAGCGGUGAAAUGCACAGAUAUCCUGAGGAACACCGGUGGCGAAAGCGGUCUUCUGGCGCGAAACUGACGCUGAGGCUCGAAAGCGUGGGUAGCAAACGGGAUUAGAUACCCUAGUAGUCC
rnacentral:rRNA from 1 species